CUACGGGGGGCUGCAGUGGGGAAUAUUGGACAAUGGGGGAAACCCUGAUCCAGCAAUGCCGCGUGUGUGAAGAAGGCCUGCGGGUUGUAAAGCACUUUCGGUUGGGAGGACUGCUUCUAGCACUAAUAUUGUUGGAAGUUGACGUUACCUUCAGAAGAAGCACCGGCUAACUCCGUGCCAGCAGCCGCGGUAAUACGGAGGGUGCAAGCGUUAAUCGGAAUUACUGGGCGGAAAGCGCGCGUAGGCGGCUAGAUCAGUCGGGUGUGAAAGCCCCGGGCUUAACCUGGGAACUGCAUCCGAUACUGUCUAGCUUGAGUACAGGAGAGGAGAGUGGAAUUCCACAUGUAGCGGUGAAAUGCGUAGAUAUGUGGAGGAACACCAAUGGCGAAGGCAGCUCUCUGGCCUGAUACUGACGCUGAGGUGCGAAAGCAUGGGGAGCAAACAGGAUUAGAUACCCCAGUAGUC
rnacentral:rRNA from 1 species